GCGCCCAUAGCUCAAUUGGCAGAGCAGUGGCCUCUUAAGCCAACGGUUGGGGGUUCGAUUCCCUCUGGGCGCACCA
rnacentral:tRNA from 1 species